GCCAUCCUGGUGUAGUGGUCAGCACGCUCGACGCGUAUUCGAGAGGUCCGUGGUUCGAGUCCCGGCGAGGGCA
rnacentral:tRNA from 1 species